UACGUAGGGUGCGAGCGUUGUCCGGAAUUACUGGGCGUAAAGAGCUCGUAGGUGGUUUGUCGCGUUGUUCGUGAAAUCUCACGGCUUAACUGUGAGCGUGCGGGCGAUACGGGCAGACUGGAGUACUGCAGGGGAGACUGGAAUUCCUGGUGUAGCGGUGGAAUGCGCAGAUAUCAGGAGGAACACCGGUGGCGAAGGCGGGACUCUGGGCCGAUACUGACGCUGAGGAGCGAAAGCGUGGGGAGCAAACAGG
rnacentral:rRNA from 1 species